UACGAAGGGUGCAAGCGUUGUUCGGAUUUACUGGGCGUAAAGCGCACGUAGGCGGAUCGUUAAGUCGGGGUGAAAUCCUGGAGCUCAACUCCAGAACUGCCUUCGAUACUGGCGAUCUUGAGUCCGGAAGAGGUGAGUGGAACUCCUAGUGUAGAGGUGGAAUUCGUAGAUAUUAGGAAGAACACCAGUGGCGAAGGCGGCUCACUGGUCCGGUACUGACGCUGAGGUGCGAAAGCGUGGGGAGCAAACAGG
rnacentral:rRNA from 1 species